UCCUAUCAUUUCUGAGAGACACUUUCAACCCAGUCUCACCAGCCUUCCAGUUAGUUACCCCUGGCUAGGUAAGAGGCCUCGACCCUGUGUGGAGGGUCAGAGAGAAAGGAGAUUAAAUCUCUCACAGCCCCUUGUCCAGGGCACAGGGGCCUCAGGGUUCUCAUCCCGCUCACCCACCUUAGCCGGAAGGAGGAGUUCCAAGUUCAUGGCUAUCUGCAGUGAUCCAGUGUGAGCCGCUCUAGCACCUCGAUAGUAUAGGAAACCAUGCACAGGGCACAGAGCAACCGGGUAAGGUCUGCUUAGCCCAGGAACCGGACCUCUCUGAUGCUGCUGUGGCUGGUUCCUGGAUUAGGUGAUGUGUCCUUGGAGAAGCCUCUCUCAAUUCUUAAAUGAUACGCUCUUUGUGGCCAGAGCAGAAGUCUGGUGUAGCCGCUGGCUUUUCUGGAAAGGUAGGCCCUAUGGCAGGCAGUAGGAUGCCUCGAUUGAGCCUCAGUCUUCAGAGCCAAUCUGAUCGGAGCUGGGAUUAUAAUUUACUAUUGUCCGUGUGAUGAUGGACAAGUUCAAUACUGCGUAGGGUUACUGUGAGAGCUGAAGUGAAAAGAGUUUAUAAAAC
rnacentral:lncRNA from 1 species